CAGCAGCCGCGGGAAUACGAAGGGGGCUAGCGUUGCUCGGAAUGACUGGGCGUAAAGGGCGCGUAGGCGGUUUUGACAGUCAGAUGUGAAAUUCCUGGGCUUAACCUGGGGGCUGCAUUUGAGACGUCAAGACUAGAGUGUGAGAGAGGGUUGCGGAAUUCCCAGUGUAGAGGUGAAAUUCGUAGAUAUUGGGAAGAACACCGGUGGCGAAGGCGGCUCACUGGCCCGGAACUGACGCUGAGACGCGAAAGCGUGGGGAGCAAACAGGAUUAGAUACCCCCGUAGUCCCUGUCUCUUAUAC
rnacentral:rRNA from 1 species